rnacentral:lncRNA from 10 species
CUCACACAAAUCCUGUUUGGUGGUCUCUUCACACGGAUGCGCAUGAAAUUUGUUGCUGUGACUCGGAUCGGGGGACCUCCCUUAGGAGAUCAAUCCCCUGUCCUCCUGCUCUUUGCUCCAUGAGAAAGAUCCACCUACGACCUCCAGUCCUCAGAACGACCAGCCCAAGAAACCUCUCACCAAUUUCAAAUCCGAUCUGCUUGGCUUAGCGACUGAAGAUUGACGCUGCCCGAUCGCCUCGGAAGCCCCCUGGACCAUCACGGACACCGAGCUUCAGGUAACUCUCACAGUGGAGGGUAAGUCCAUCCCCUGUUUGAUCGAUACGAGGGCUACCCACUCCACAUUGCCUUCUUUUCAAGGGCCUGUUUCCCUUGCCCCCAUAACUUUUGUGGGUAUUGAUGGCCAAGCUUCAAAACCCCUGAAAACUCCUCAACUCUGGUGCCAACUUAGACAAUACUCUUUUAAGCACUCCUUUUUAGUUAUCCCCACCUGCCCAGUUCCCUUAUUAGGCUGAGACACUUUAACUAAAUUAUCUGCUUCCCUGACUAUCCCGGACUACAGCUAUAUUUCAUUGCUGCCCUUCUUCCCAAUCCAAAGCCUCCUUUGCGUCCUCCUCUUGUAUCCCCCCACCUUAACCCACAAGUAUAAGAUACCUCUACUCCCUCCUUGGCGACCGAUCAUGCAUCCCUUACCAUCUCAUUAAAACCUAAUCACCCUUACCCCACUCAAUGCCAAUAUCCCAUCCCGCAGUACGCUUUAAAAAGAUUAAAGUCUGUUAUCACUUGCCUGCUACAGCAUGGCCUUUUAAAGCCUAUAAACUCUCCUUACAAUUCCCCCAUUUCACCUGUCCUAAAACCAGACAAGCCUUACAAGUUAGUUCAGGAUCUGCACCUUAUCAACCAAAUUGUUUUGCCUAUCCACCCCGUGGUGCCAAACCCAUAUACUCUCCUAUCCUCAAUACCUGCCUCUAUAACCCAUUAUUCUGUUCUAGAUCUCAAACAUGCUUUCUUUACUAUUCCUUUGCACCCUUAAUCCCAGCCUCUCUUCACCUUCACUUGGACUGACCCUGACACCCAUCAAGCUCAGCAAAUUACCUAGGCUGUACUGCCACAAAGCUUCACAGACAGCCCCCAUUACUUCAAUCAAGCCCAAAUUUCUUCCUCAUCUGUUACCUAUCUCGGCAUAAUCUCAUAAAAACACACGUGCUCUCCCUGCCAAUCGUGUCCAACUGAUCUCUCAAACCCCAGCACCUUCUACAAAACAACAACUCCUUUCCUUCCUAGGCAUGGUUAGCGUGGUCAGAAUUCUUACACGAGAGCCAGGACCACACCCUGUAGCCUUUCUGUCCAAACAACUUGACCUUACUGUUUUAGCCUAGCCCUCAUGUCUGCGUGCAGCGGCUGCCACUGCCUUAAUACUUUUAGAGGCCCUAAAAAUCACAAACUAUGCUCAACUCACUCUCUACAUUUCUCGUAACUUCCAAAAUCUAUUUUCUUCCUCAUACCUGACGCAUAUACUUUCUGCUCCCCGGCUCCUUCAGCUGUACUCACUCUUUCAGUCCCACAAUUACCAUUGUUCCUGGCCCGGACUUCAAUCUGGCCUCCCACAUUAUUCCUCAUACCACACCUGACCCCCAUGACUGUAUCUCUCUGAUCCACCUGACAUUCACCCCAUUUCCCCAAAUUUCCUUCUUUCCUGUUCCUCACCCUGAUCACGCUUGAUUUAUUGAUGGCAGUUCCACCAGGCCUAAUCGCCACACACCAGCAAAGGCAGGCUAUGCUAUAGUACAAGCCACUAGCCUGCCUCUCAGAACCUCUCAUUUCCUUUCCAUCGUGGAAAUCUAUCCUCAAGGAAAUAACUUCUCAGUGUUCCAUCUGCUAUUCUACUACUCCUCAGGGAUUAUUCAGGCCCCCUCCCUUCCCUACACAUCAAGCUUGAGGAUUUGCCCCCACCCAGGACUGGCAAAUUAGCUUUACUCAACAUGCCCGAGUCAGGAAACUAAAAUACCUCUUAGUCCAAAUAGACACUUUCACUGAAUAAGUAAAGGCCUUUCCUACAGGGUCUGAGAAGGCCACCGCAGUCAUUUCUUUCCUUCUGUCAGACAUAAUUCCUCAGUUUAGCCUUCCCACCUCUAUACAGUCUGAUAACAGACCAGCCUUUAUUAGUCAAAUCAGCCAAGCAGUUUUUCAGGCUCUUAGUAGGUUUCAGCGAAACCUUUAUAUCCUUUACGGUCCUCCAUCUUCAAGAAAAAUAGAACGGACUAAAGGUCUUUUAAAAACACAGCUCACCAAGCUCAGCCACCAACUUAAAAAGGACUGGACAAUACUUUUACCACUUUCGCUUCUACAAGGUACAGCCCAUUUAAGCUCCUGUAUACAUGCUCCUUUUUAUUAGGCCCCAGUCUCAUUUGACACCAGACCAACUUAGACUGUGCCCCCAAAAAACUUGUCAUCCCUACUAUCUUUUAUCUAGUCAUACUCCUAUUCACCGUUCUCAACUACUCAUAUACGCCCUGCUCUUGUUUACACUGCCGGUUUACGCUGUUUCUCCAAGCCAUCACAGCUGAUAUCUCCUGGUGCUAUCCCCAAACUGCCACUCUAAACUCUUGAAGUAAAUAAAUAAUCUUUGCUGGCAGGACUAUGCUGAAUCUCCUUAGGCACUCUCUAAUCAGAUGUCCUAGGUCCUCCCAAUUCUUAGACCUUUUAUACCUGUUUUUCUCCUUCUCUUAUUCCAUUUAGUUCCUCAAUUCAUCCAAAACCGUAUCCAGGCCAUCACCAAUCAUUCUAUAUGACAAAUGUUUCUUCUAACAUCCCCACAAUAUCACCCCUCACCACAAGACCUCCCUUCAGCUUAAUCUCUCCCACUCUAGGUUCCCACGCCGCCUCUAAUCCCGCUUGAAGCAGCCCUGAGAAACAUCGCCCAUUCUCUCUCCAUACCACCCCCCCAAAAUUUUUGCCACUCCAACACUUCAACACUAUUUUGUUUUAUUUGUCUUAUUAAUAUAAGAAGGCAGGAAUGUCAGGCCUCUGAGCCCAGGCCAGGCC